ACACCGGCACACACGCACACACACAGACACACACACACAGAGUGAAAAAGGCGAGCCACCAAAACCCAUCUCCAGUCUCCUCCCGGGGGCCCCCAGCCCGCCUCUGUGCCACUUUGCAUCCCACGCCGGAGGAGGCAUUAACGAGACCGGGUAAGGUGCGUGCUGUGCUGGCCAUUGGUGACCCAAAGAUGAUGAAAAAUAUGUUCCUGCCCACAAGGAGUUAGCGACCUACUGGGCUUUCCUCUUGCUGAUGACAUGAUUCCUGUUUGAAUCUGUUGACAAGAUUCUGAAAGCUGAACAGAGAAUUCUGGCACUGCACUGGGUAGGAAAAAGCAUUUCAAGAAAUAGAUAAUAUCAAGGACAUCAGGACACCGGGAGUGGGAGAGAUUGGACUGGGAGACUCAGCAGG
rnacentral:lncRNA from 10 species